rnacentral:rRNA from 1 species
CCCUACUGCUAUCGGGGUGGGACUAAGACAUGCGAGUUGUGCGUCUCUAAGCCAUGGUAGAGACGCAGCGUACGGCUCAGUAACACGUGGCUAACCUACCCUUAGGACGGGGACAACCCCGGGAAACUGGGGCUAAUACCCGAUAGGUGAGGAGGCCUGGAAUGGUUCCUAGUCGAAAAGGCGUUGAAACCAUGCUUUUCGACGUCGCCUAAGGAUGGGGCCGCGCCCGAUCAGGUUGUUGGUGGGGUAACGGCUCACCAAACCUAUAACCGGUACGGGCCGUGAGAGCGGGAGCCCGGAGAUGGGCACUGAGACAAGGGCCCAGGCCCUACGGGGCGCAGCAGUCGCGAAAACUCCGCAAUGCGCGAAAGCGUGACGGGGCUAUCCCGAGUGCCGUCCGCUGAGGAUGGCUUUUCCCCGGUGUAAUGAGCCGGGGGAAUAAGGAGAGGGCAAGUCUGGUGUCAGCCGCCGCGGUAAUACCAGCUCUCCGAGUGGUAGGGAUGAUUAUUGGGCUUAAAGCGUCCGUAGCCGGCUUAGCAAGUCUCCUGUUAAAUUCAGCGACCUAAUCGUUGAGCCGCGGGAGAUACUACUAGGCUAGGAGGCGGGAGAGGCCGACGGUAUUCUCGGGGUAGGGGUGAAAUCCUAUAAUCCCGGGAGGACCACCAGUGGCGAAGGCUGUCGGCUAGAACGCGCUCGACGGUGAGGGACGAAAGCUGGGGGAGCAAACCGGAUUAGAUACCCGGGUAGUCCCAGCUGUAAACGAUGCGGGCUAGGUGUUGGGGUGGCUACGAGCCACUUCAGUGCCGCAGGGAAGCCGUUAAGCCCGCCGCCUGGGGAGUACGGCCGCAAGGCUGAAACUUAAAGGAAUUGGCGGGGGAGCACCACAAGGCGUGAAGCUUGCGGUUC